rnacentral:ribozyme from 1 species
GUCUCGCGCAUUCGCCUAGCUCGAGUCGAGAAUAUUGCGCAGGAGAGACUGCAAAACACGGCUUCCUCGAUAUCUCGGAAGCGGCCAUCUUUGUUU